UACGUAGGGUGCGAGCGUUAAUCGGAAUUACUGGGCGUAAAGCGUGCGCAGGCGGCUUUGCAAGACAGAUGUGAAAUCCCUCGGCUUAACCGGGGAACUGCAUCUGAUACUGGAUGGCUUGAGUUCGGGAGAGGGAUGCGGAAUUCCAGGUGUAGCGGUGAAAUGCGUAGAUAUUAGGAAGAACACCGGUGGCGAAGGCGGCCCACUGGAUCGGUACUGACGCUGAGGUGCGAAAGCGUGGGGAGCAAACAGG
rnacentral:rRNA from 1 species